ACCGGCAGCUCAAGUGGUGGCCAUUUUUAUUGGGCCUAAAGCGUUCGUAGCCGGUUUGAUAAGUCUCUGGUGAAAUCCCGCAGCUUAACUGUGGGACUUGCUGGAGAUAAUAUUAGACUUGAGGUCGGGAGAGGUUAGGGGUACUCCCAGGUUAGGGGUGAAAUCCUAUAAUCCUGGGAGGACCCCCUGUGGCGAAGGUGCUUGCCUGGAACGAUCCUGACGGUGAGUAACGAAAGCCAGGGGCGCGAACCG
rnacentral:rRNA from 1 species